rnacentral:rRNA from 1 species
GAUGAACGCUGGCGGCGUGCCUAAUACAUGCAAGUCGAGCGAACAGACGAGGAGCUUGCUCCUCUGACGUUAGCGGCGGACGGGUGAGUAACACGUGGAUAACCUACCUAUAAGACUGGGAUAACUUCGGGAAACCGGAGCUAAUACCGGAUAAUAUAUUUAACCACAUGGUUCAAUAGUGAAAGACGCAUUUGCUGUCACUUAUAGUUGUCUCCGCGUCGCAUUAGCUAGUUGGUAAGGUAACGGCUUACCAAGGCAACGAUGCGUAGCCGACCUGAGAGGGUGAUCGGCCACACUGGAACUGGGACACGGUCAAGACUCCUACGGGAGGCAGCAGUAGGGAAUCUUCCGCAAUGGGCGAAAGCCGGACGGAGCAACGCCGCGUGAGUGAUGAAGGUCUUCGGAUCGUAAAACUCUGUUAUUAGGGAAGAACAAAUGUGUAAGUAACUAUGCACGUCUUGACGGUACCUAAUCAGAAAGCCACGGCUAACUACGUG